rnacentral:rRNA from 1 species
UACGUAGGGUGCAAGCGUUGUCCGGAAUUAUUGGGCGUAAAGAGCUCGUAGGUGGCCUGUCGCGUCGGCUGUGAAAACUCGGGGCUCAACUCCGAGCUUGCAGUCGAUACGGGCAGGCUAGAGUUCGGCAGGGGAGACUGGAAUUCCUGGUGUAGCGGUGAAAUGUGUAGAGAUCGGGAGGAACACCGGUGGCGAAGGCGGGUCUCUGGGCAUCUCCUGACGCUGAGGCGCGAAAGCGUGGGGAGCAAACGGG